AUGAAUGUCAGCUGCUACAAAAAGAAGCAGAAUUUGUAUUUAUGUUGACGUAGGAAAUUCGUAAAAAUAUUUGGUUUGAAAUUUAUAAUAAAAAAUUCUUAAUUAUUUUACUUAAAAAAAACGUUACAAAGCUAUGACCAACAUAUAGCCAAAGUCGAAAAUUAUAAAAAUUUGAAAAGAAAGCUAAAUACUGAAAGAAAUACGUAAAGUUUAAGCAACAGCGGCAGAAUGCAUAAUGUUGAGGGAUUUAUAGCGCUACUGGAAACAACAGCCGUUGUAACCACAGUUUUGCAAUACUUAUCGGGAGCCAUUAUAUGUCGCAAAUAUAUAAAUAAGAAAUCAACCGGUGAUUCCUCUGGUUUUCCCUUUAUAUGCGGAUUUUUAUCCUGCAGUUAUUGGGUUCAUUAUGGCAUGUUAAGCGAAGAGCGUAGUGUAGUUUUGGUUAAUACCAUUGGUGUAACCUUAUUCCUUAUUUACACUCUCAUUUAUUAUGUUUUUACCGUCAAUAAGAACGUUUAUGUGAAACAGUUCCUCUUUGUAUUAACGGCAUUAUUUGGUAUUGUUUUUUAUAUUAAUGGUAUCACAGAUGUGGGACAGGCACAAAAUUUUAUGGAACUGUUAGUGUGUAUAUGUUUGGUUAUAAAGUCGAUUGCAAGCCAACAUUUUAAAGUUAAAUUUUUCAAAAUUUAUGGAACAAAACUGAUUUUUAAAAUUCAACAUUUUGAACUUAAAGUGAAGGUAUUGUUUGCUGUAUUGUUACGGUUUGCUUUUUUGCGGCACCGCUUACCAAUCUUUUGCAUGUGAUACGGGUUAAAAACUCCGAAAGUUUGCCUUUUCCCUUAAUAGUUAUGUCAUUUCUGGUUUCUAUACAAUGGCUAAUAUAUGGCAUUAUAAUAUCCGAUACAUUUAUACAACUACCCAACUUUUUAGGUUGCGUGUUAUCGCUAAUGCAACUUUGUUUAUUUGUUUGCUAUCCGCCAAAAAGUUUUGCUGGUCAAGGCUAUAAACUUGUAGACCAAAGUGUGGUAUUUUAAACAUAAACACAACAACAAAAUGCAAUUUUGUAUACAAUUAUUAAAAACAAACAUAACAACAAAAGACUUACAAAACUUUUUAAAAAUACAAUUUGUAAUUGUUUACUAAUACUGAUAUUAAUUGUAUAUACAAAACGUAUUAUUUUUAUAUCUGUUUCUUGGCUAUUUUCUAUACUCAUGCUCUUUUAAAAGCCAGUAAAAUUUACUUAAUUAAAAAUUUAUAAUUUAGAGGCUUAGAACUUAAUUAAAAAUUGUAUUAAAUAACAAAAUAAAAAAAAAUUUACCUCUUUCUUUGUGCUGGACAAAAAUACCAUUAUAACAAUUCAAGUUACUUUACAACAGUUUUCUUUUAACUGUUGUCCACUAUAGAAAAAAAUAAUAAUUUAUGUGCUUAUCUCCUUAAGAUCAAAAAUUUCAAAAAAAAUCUUAUCACAAAUCACUCAAUCUAUAGAUUGUAUAUAAUUCAAUUAUUAAACUAUUAAAUAAUAACGAUUAAAUUUGUAACAGA